GACGUAGGGCGCAAGCGUUGUCCGGAUUUAUUGGGCGUAAAGAGCGUGUAGGCGGCUUUGCAAGUCCGUUGUGAAAACUCGAGCUCAACCUCGAGACGCCGGUGGAAACUGCAAAGCUAGAGUCCGGAAGAGGAGAGUGGAAUUCCUGGUGUAGCGGUGAAAUGCGCAGAUAUCAGGAAGAACACCCGUGGCGAAGGCGGCUCUCUGGGACGGUACUGACGCUGAGACGCGAAAGCGUGGGGAGCGAACAGG
rnacentral:rRNA from 1 species